rnacentral:rRNA from 1 species
CCUUUGUACACACCGCCCGUCGCUACUACCGAUUGAAUGGUUCAGUGAGGCGUUCGGACUGGCCCCAGGAGGUCGGCAACGACCACCCAGGGCCGGAAAGUUCUCCAAACUCGAUCAUUUAGAGG